rnacentral:rRNA from 1 species
UGAGGAAUAUUGGUCAAUGGGCGCAAGCCUGAACCAGCCAUCCCGCGUGAAGGAAGAAGGCGCUAUGCGUUGUAAACUUCUUUUCCAGAGGAAGAAAAACUCCGACGUGUCGGGGCUUGACAGUACCCUGGGAAUAAGCAUCGGCUAACUCCGUGCCAGCAGCCGCGGUAAUACGGAGGAUGCGAGCGUUAUCCGGAUUUAUUGGGUUUAAAGGGUGCGCAGGCGGGAUAAUAAGUCAGUGGUGAAAACCUGCAGCUUAACUGUAGAAUUGCCAUUGAUACUGUUGUUCUUGAGUAUGGUCAAGGUAGGCGGAAUGUGUAAUGUAGCGGUGAAAUGCUUAGAUAUUACACAGAACACCGAUUGCGAAGGCAGCUUGCUGGGCCAUUACUGACGCUCAUGC